GAUGAUUGCAAAAGUGAAAGCCAAGGCCUCGUGACCACCCUCCCUUCCCCUCUAUCAUUUGCAGUGGCGUACGGAAUCAGCCGUGUAAAUGUACACCCAGCCACUGACCACUCUUGGACCCGCCCGCCCCACCUCUCUCUCUCACUUAAUUCUGAACCGACAUUCCAACCCCCUCUCUCUUUCCUCCUCUUCUUCUUCCUCACUUCUAGACCCCCAAUAAUCUCAAUCCCUCUCUCUCUCUCUCUCUCUCUCUCUCUCUUUCUCUCCCCCCUGCACAAAGGUGACUCCUCCUUCUUGUUUCUUCUCUACUUUCUGUUUUUCUUUUCCCCUGUUUUGUAGAAUUUCCCGGGAACCAAACAGAUUGUUCUCCCAACUCCCUUUUCACUUCCCAAUUGCCGCCGCCUUAUUCCGUUUAGUUGCGUGGGGUGCACGUUUUUAUACAAUUGUUAUGCAGUUUUAUUUUCUGUAUUCAAAUGUGAUGUAAUUUCUUUUCUCGAAGCGGAGUUUGGCUUUCACAAAUUUGAAUUUUUGUUUCGGGAAAGUGGGAAAUGAUUGUUGGUUGUGAAUUACACGAACUGGUGAAAAUGGCGGCUACCCAAUUCAGAAGUGGCGCCCUUUCUAACGGAUUAACCGCUGGAUCCAGAGACGGUAACCCGAUAACUCGAAAGUCCAGGUUUUUUAAUCCAUUGCACACAAGGGAAGAUAGUAAUAUUGUAGCAAGAAGUGUUAGGAAGGAUUUGAGCAAUGCCAAUGCUAUGGGGGGAUGUAAUCUGUCUGCCACACGCAGACCACUGUGCUUGCCGCUAGUGACACGCCGCAGAAGACCCUGUUUUCCGGGGGUGGCGAAUCAGUUGAGUUCGGAUUUGGGUGUGGGAUCCUUUGAGGUUGAAGGGAAGUUGGCUUUACAAGAAGAGGAAGCUCCCAUAAGUGGGGGGACUGGUGACCUUGAAACAUAUUCUCCAGAUAUCAAACGCGAGCUAUUGAUGCUUUCUUUACCUGCAAUUCUGGGUCAGGCCAUUGAUCCAUUAGCACAACUAAUGGAGACUGCGUACAUUGGCAAUUUGGGUUCUGUGGAAUUGGCUUCAGCUGGUAUUUCAAUGAACAUCUUUAAUUAUAUCUCAAAGAUAUUUAACAUCCCCCUCCUCAGUGUUGCUACAUCAUUUGUUGCUGAAGACCUUGCUAAGAGUGAAAGUAAAGGUUCUAUUUCAGAAAAUGGUUAUCUAGACGGUAAACCCAAACCUGUUAAUGGAGUCGUUGAGAGAAAGCAGCUAUCUUCAGUGUCUACAGCUUUAUUGUUAGCAGUUGGGAUUGGAAUUUUUGAGGCCGUGGCCCUGUCUAUGGGAUCUGGGUUGUUUCUAAAUACGAUGGGCAUAUCAUCAGACUCACCUAUGCGCAUUCAAGCACAACUAUUUCUUCAACUAAGAGCACUUGGUGCUCCCGCAGUUGUAGCGUCUUUGGCUCUUCAAGGAGUUUUCCGUGGAUUUAAGGAUACAAAAACUCCAGUACUAUGUCUAGGUAUUGGUAAUUUGUUAGCCGUGUUUUUGUUACCGCUCCUUAUAUAUUAUUUUCGUUUGGGUGCAACUGGUGCAGCUAUUUCCACUGUUAUAUCUCAAUACACUGUCACCUUUUUAAUGAUCUGGUUUCUAAAUAAGAGAGCUGUACUAUUGCCUCCGAAGGUUGGAUCACUGCAAUUUGGUGGAUACAUUAAAUCCGGUGGCUUUCUUCUUGGAAGAACUGUUGCUUGUCUUACAACCUUGACAUUGGGAACAUCAAUGGCAGCUCGUCAAGGUCCAGUAGCUAUGGCUGCUCAUCAGAUAUGUAUUCAAGUAUGGUUGGCUGUAUCCCUUCUAACUGAUGCAAUGGCUGCAUCUGGUCAGGCCCUGAUCGCAAGUUACUUAUCAAAAGGUGAAUACAAAAUUGUGAAAGAAGUUGCUGACUCCGUGUUAAAGAUAGGAUUGUUCACAGGUAUUUCCUUGUCUGUAAUUUUGGGAGUAUCUUUUGGUUCUUUAGCUACGUUGUUCACCAACGAUCCUGAAGUAUUAGCAAUUGUUAGAUCUGGUAUAUUGUUUGUCAGUGCUAGUCAGCCUUUAAAUGCUCUAGCUUAUGUUUUCGAUGGCCUCCAUUAUGGUGUUUCAGAUUUUGCAUAUGCAGCUCGCUCCAUGAUGGUUGUGGGGGCAAUAUCUUCCACAUUUUUGCUAUAUGCUCCUUCCAUCUUUGGCCUUCAUGGAGUUUGGCUGGGUUUGACUCUCUUCAUGGGCUUGCGAGCAGUCGCAGGCUAUGCCAGAUAUCUGUCAAAAUCAGGUCCGUGGUGGUUUGUGCACAGGGAUAUUCAAACAGCUCAGGACUAGCUGGAAUAUGCCGAUGAAGCCUCAUGUUUUCUUCCCUUGAAAAUCUUAUUUAAAAUUUAGAGCUGGCCACUUGAGAUUGGCAAAAUCAAUUUGAUUGAAUCACAUCACAGACCUAGUAUUUCCCACAAGCCGAAGAGAGGUUUCAGCUACAAAUUGCGCAUUUGGAUCAGUAUUUGUAUCAGAUGAUUACACGGUUUUAUUAUAUUCAUUGAUAAUUUUGGGGUACGAAAAAAGAACCUGAACGUUACUUAGUAUAUAUUCUUGUCGUCUUCAUGAGGACAUGAUUCUUCUCCUGGAAACAAUGUAGCUUCUAGUUCUUGGAUACAUCUCUCUUGUCCUUGACUAUAAAAUUCACACUCCUUCCUUU